GACGAACGCUGGCGGCGUGCCUAAUACAUGCAAGUAGAACGCAGUUGCGAACGGGUGAGUAACGCGUAGGUAACUGCCUCAUAGCGGGGGAUAACUCUUGGAAACGAUAGCUAAUACCGCAUAUUGUGACAUUGACCUGCGUUGUAUUAGGUAGUUGGUGAGGUAAAUGCUCACCAAGGCGACGGUACAUAGCCGACCUGGGAGGGUGGUCGGGCAAACUGGGGAUGGGAAACGGGCCAAGAUCCUACGGGAGGCAGCAAGAGGGAAUCUUCGGCAAUGGACGGAAGUCUGACCGAGCAACGCCGCGGGAGUUGAGGAGGUUUUCGGAUCGUAAAGCUAUGUUGUUAGAGAAGCGGUAACUAAAGAGAAAGGGACGGCUAACUACGUGCCAGCCGCCGCGGUAAUAC
rnacentral:rRNA from 1 species